CUUGGUCAUUUAGAGGAAGUAAAAGUCGUAACAAGGUCUCCGUUGGUGAACCAGCGGAGGGAUCAUUACCAGAGUGCCCUAGGCUCUCCAACCCAUUGUGAACAUACCUAACGUUCCCUCGGCGGGCUCAGCGCGCGGUGCCUCCGGGCUCCGGGCGUCCGCCGGGGACAACCAAACCCUGAUUUUAUCGUGUAUCUCUGAGGGGCGAAAGCCCGAAAACAAAAUAAAUCAAAACUUUCAACAACGGAUCUCUUGGCUCUGGCAUCGAUGAAGAACGCAGCGAAAUGCGAUAAGUAAUGUGAAUUGCAGAAUUCAGUGAAUCAUCGAAUCUUUGAACGCACAUUGCGCCCGCCGGCACUCCGGCGGGCAUGCCUGUCCGAGCGUCAUUUCAACCCUCAGGGCCCCCUUUCGGGGGGGACCUGGUGCUGGGGAUCAGCGGCCCUCGGGCCCCUGUCCCCCAAAUACAGUGGCGGUCGCGCCGCAGCCUCCCCUGCGUAGUAGCACACCUCGCACCGGAGAGCGGUUCGACCACGCCGUAAAACCCCCAACUUUCCAAGGUUGACCUCGGAUCAGGUAGGAAUACCCGCUGAACUUAAGCAUAUCAAUAAGCGGAGGAAAAGAAACCAACAGGGAUUGCCUCAGUAACGGCGAGUGAAGCGGCAACAGCUCAAAUUUGAAAUCUGGCCGCAAGGUCCGAGUUGUAAUUUGUAGAGGAUGCUUUUGGCAAGGUGCCUUCCGAGUUCCCUGGAACGGGACGCCAUAGAGGGUGAGAGCCCCGUACGGUAGGACCACCAAGCCUCUGUAAAGCUCCUUCGACGAGUCGAGUUGUUUGGGAAU
rnacentral:misc_RNA from 1 species